CCGCCUAUGGGAGUAAGCAGUCCCUUGCACCUGAUAACUAUCUUCUUCACUUUUUCUGCUAAAACCUUCUGCCUUUAGCUGAUCAUUAACGGAUGGACCAUGC
rnacentral:snoRNA from 1 species